UCCCGUCCGAAGACAGCCUGGUCCCAGAUACGACCUUGGGGUCCACAGGCUGUCCUCAGUCACUUGGAGUCCUCCCACCUGCAACGGACCACUCAGGCCCUAGUUCUCUGGGUCAGCGCCGUACCAUGCACUCUACGGCAGGUCAGCACUCUAACCCUCACAAUCUCCCCCGUUCGGUGGGCCUACGUGAUGACGUGACCGCGGCUAUGCAAAGUCUGGGCCCCACCACUCAGUCAUGUUAAUUUAAGCCUGAGUACUAAAUGCCAGGGUUCGCCUCUUUUGGCUAAUCUGUCAUUGGGACGACGACAAUAAAUGGGGGGGUGGAUUGUAGCAGGAUACACCCCCCUCUGGUGGUGUUUUCCUAAUAUUAUCCGUUGAAUGGACAGGUGGGUAAUUAUAGGCCCAGUGCUAUUUAAGGAAGUCAGCCCUCCUGAUUGUAUGUCUUCCACCUUUCCCUGGAGGAGGGACUUCCUGGUCAGUGUUGUUGGACGUGGGUCCCGUGUGUGUACCAUUACUGCCAGCAGCAGCUCCGUUGUGCUUUAACCCGGUGUGGAUUCAUAGUGAAUGUUGCCAUCCGGAUUUGGGUGUGAGAACCUUAUCGGCUCAGCUUGGCGUGAGCAGUGUUAGCCGCACAGGCGUUAUCUCGCCACCGGUAGUGGGAGACGGAACCAUCAGCAAUCGAUUGGCAGAAGCAUCGGCGGUGUUCGUGCUGGCCUUUGGCCUGUUUCCGCAACCGAUGAGUUUGCUGCUUUGUCUCCACUGUUUGUUUAUUUAAUUUAUGUUCAAUUACCUUCCGAGGGGGCCUGUCAGUCUGACGACCAUUCGCCGCCUCUUCAUCUGUAUCUCCUCGCAGUGCAUGACCGGGCUUGUGUUUGUAACGUUGGGUUCUCGGCUCUGUUAAUAGCCUAACGAUUAUCGUGUUGCAUGAUCUGUGCAUGUCUAUGCAUGUAUGCAUGUGGAGUGUUAACUGGGCCCUGGUUAGUGCAAGUCCUGUGUGCGUUUAUGUUGGUGUGUGUGUGUGCCUACGUGUGAGUUUGUGCAUGCGUGUGUGUGUGUACUGGUGCAUGCUGGUGUAUGUGGGGUUAGCCUACCUGUAUGUACAGUACGCUGGUGUGUGGUGAAUGUGCUUGUCUG